CCAAUCGAACUCGGAUAUAGCUGGUUCUCCUCGAAAUAGCUUUAGGGCUAGCCUCAAGGUAAAGAUACACGGGGGUAGAGCACUGACUGUUCGCGGGGCCUUCACCGGUUACCAACAACUAUCAAACUCCGAAUACCGUGGUAUCAUACUUGGGAGUCAGACUAUGAGAGAUAAGUUCCAUGGUCGAAAGGGAAACAGCCCAGAUCAACAGCUAAGGUCCCAAAGAGUAAGUUAAGUGGAAAAGGAUGUGGGAUUGCACAAACAGCUAGGAUGUUGGCUUAGAAGCAGCCAUACAUUUAAAGAGUGCGUAAUAGCUCACUAGUCGAGUGAUCCUGCGCCGAAGAUAAACGGGGCUCAAACUUACCACCGAAGCUUUGGAAUUAGUAUAACUAAUUGGUAGAGGAGCAUUCUAUACAGGUAGAAGGAGGCGCGUAAGCAAAUCUGGACAGUAUAGAAGAGAGAAUGUUGGCAUGAGUAGCGUAAGGCGGGUGAGAAUCCCGUCCGCCGAAAAUCUAAGGUUUCCUGAGGAAGGUUCGUCCUCUCAGGGUAAGUCGGGACCUAAGCCGAGAGCGAACGCUGUAGGCGAUGGAUAACAGGUUGAUAUUCCUGUACCACCAAGGAUUGUUUGAAUGAAGUGGGGACACAGAAGGAUAGAUUGAGCACGCCGUUGGUUGAGCGUGUCCAAGCAGUAAGGCUUGAAAGUAGGCAAAUCCGCUUUCUAAAAGGCUGAGCUGUGAUGGGGUGGUCGAAUGACCGGUAGCAAUCGAUUUCACGCUGUCAAGAAAAGCCGCUAAUGAGAUCCAAGGUGCCCGUACCGCAAACCGACACAGGUAGAUGAGGAGAGAAUCCUAAGGUGAGCGAGAGAACUAUUGUUAAGGAACUCGGCAAAAUAACCCCGUAACUUCGGGAGAAGGGGUGCCUGCUUCGGCAGGCCGCAGUGAAAAGGCCCAGGCAACUGUUUACCAAAAACACAGGUCUCUGCAAAAGCGAAAGCUGAAGUAUAGGGGCUGACGCCUGCCCGGUGCUGGAAGGUUAAGGUGAAGUGUAAGGGUAACCGAAGCACAGAACUUAAGCCCCAGUAAACGGCGGCCGUAACUAUAACGGUCCUAAGGUAGCGAAAUUCCUUGUCGGGUAAGUUCCGACCCGCACGAAAGGCGUAAUGAUCUGGGCACUGUCUCAACAAUAGACUCGGUGAAAUUGUAGUACCGGUAAAGAUGCCGGUUACCCGCAGCAGGACGGAAAGACCCCGUGGAGCUUUACUGUAGCUUGAUAUUGAUUUUCGGCAUUGCAUGUACAGGAUAGGUGGGAGACGUUGAGUUCAGCACGCCAGUGUUGGAGGAGUCACCGUUGGGAUACCACCCUUGUAAUGUUGGAAAUCUAACCUAGUACCGUGAUCCGGUACAGGGACAGUGUCAGGUGGGCAGUUUGACUGGGGCGGUCGCCUCCUAAAGAGUAACGGAGGCGCCCAAAGGUUCCCUCAGCGCGGACGGAAAUCGCGCGAAGAGUGCAAAGGCAAAAGGGAGCUUGACUGCGAGACAUACAGGUCGAGCAGGGACGAAAGUCGGGCUUAGUGAUCCGGUGGUUCCGAGUGGAAGGGCCAUCGCUCAACGGAUAAAAGCUACCCCGGGGAUAACAGGCU
rnacentral:rRNA from 1 species